CAGCACCUCAAGUGGUCAGGAUGAUUAUUGGGCCUAAAGCAUCCGUAGCCUGCUUUGUUAGUUUUCGGUUAAAUCCAUAUGCUCAACGUAUGGGCUGCCGGGAAUACUGCAAAGCUAGGGAGUGGGAGAGGUAGACGGUACUCGGUAGGAAGGGGUAAAAUCCUUUGAUCUAUUGAUGACCACCUGUGGCGAAGGCGGUCUACCAGAGCACGUCCGACGGUGAGGGAUGAAAGCUGGGGGAGCAAACCGGAUUAGAUACCCGAGUAGUCC
rnacentral:rRNA from 1 species